GCUCAUGCACCAAGCUUUGCAACACUCUUGCUGCCUCAUGACAACACUCUUGUUGUCCGGUCGAGCUCAAUUGUUAGAGGUAUGACACCUACCAUGGUGGUGACGAGUGAUGGAGAAUUAGGGUUCGAUUCCGGAGAGGGAGCCUGAGAAACGGCUACCACAUCCAAGG
rnacentral:ncRNA from 1 species